GUGGAUUAGAUACCCUGGUAGUCCACGCCCUAAACGAUGAAUACUCGCUGUUGGCGAUACACAGUCAGCGGCUAAGCGAAAGCGUUAAGUAUUCCACCUGGGGAGUACGCCCGCAAGGGUGAAACUCAAAGGAAUUGACGGGGGCCCGCACAAGCGGAGGAGCAUGUGGUUUAAUUCGAUGAUACGCGAGGAACCUUACCCGGGCUUGAAAGUUAGUGAACUAUCCAGAGAUGGAUGGGUCCUUCGGGACACGAAACUAGGUGCUGCACGGCCGUCGACAACU
rnacentral:rRNA from 1 species